rnacentral:lncRNA from 1 species
CUGGGGCUAAGGCGUCUUUGCCCUAUUCUGCCGCUAGAUGGCAGCUGGCAUCAGGUUGGUGCCCUUUACGGACCUGGAGGAAUUGAGUGAAGUCUUUGCUGAGGGGAAGACCCAGAGGCAAGAACUGGAAUUACUUGUGUCUUUUGAUCGGUCUUCCCAAGGAGAGAUGAAGAACGAAAGGUCUGGAGAGGAGCAGAGCAGCGUCUGAGCAAAACGUGACAGUAAGGAGAAGAUGGAGUCUAAGGCAGAUGCAGAC